UUGAAUGUUGACCUACCUGCUCGGCUGCUCCUAUACCCUUUUUCUCUCACAUUCUCUCAUACAAUCUCCUCUAAGUCUCUAACCAUCCUACCCCUGUUUUUCCAUUUUAAUUAUCUGAAAAAUCAAGCUCGAUCUGCGAAUAACAUGGCACGAACCGCUGCGAAGAAGGAGACGUCUCGAAGCAAAAAUUCCAACAUUUCCAUGUCUUAAAUCUGGUUUAUGAAUCGAAGGUUGAGAGGCAAGCUUCAUCAAAGACGAAGUAUAAUUAAAGUUUAAUCUUAGUUGUUGGGAUGAAUUCGUGGAGGGAUCCGUGAAAUCAUUUCGUGCCGAUCUUGGAUCUGGAAGUCUCAUCCAUCAUCAUUCAAUUUAUUAUCUAUUUUUUAGGGUUUAUGUUGUUGGAACUUCAUAGAUUGGGUUGUUGAUUUUGAUUCUUCGAUCAAUGCAGACUCGUUAUUCGAUGAUAUCGGCAGUGUGAUGGAAAAUUAGUUCUCAAACUCACCGAUUACAUGGAGGUCUCGCAAGCAGAGCUCUUGAUCAUUGACGAUGCAGCUGCUAUACCGUUGCCUGUUGUCAAGUUAUUGCUGGGUCCCUACCUGGUUUUCUUAUCCUCCACAGUGAAUGGGUAUGAUGUGCAUGCUCACCCUGUCUUUUCUAUUUCAUGGUCAUUAUGAAAUAGACUUACAUACUAAUUGAUAAUUCUUAGAGUUUCAAUUGUUUUUAAAUUAACCCCUUUCCACAUGGUAUUUGAUUUUCUGCAAAUUUGCAAUUACAUUGUACAAUAGUUUUUUGAUGUGAAUAUAUCGAGUUGGAUUACUAUGAGUUUGUUUGUUUGUUUGUUUGUUUGUUUGUUUGUUUGUUUGGUUCUGUAAUUAAUUUGGUUUCACAAUUGGUUGCCAAGUUAAUGCAUGUGAAUCAAUAUUCUGGCAAUGGUGGUGUACUGGUGGAACUGAUGCUUUAAUGGUCUAUUUUGUUUCUCUUUUUUAUCGGUUAUUGAUUACCUAAAUUUUAAUUUUGGUCAAAAUUUGGAUCGAUAUUUUUAGUUGGUUUUUCAAUUUUCAAUGUAUUCGUCAGCAAUAGAAGUUGAAGAUUGAUGAUAUUAAACACCCAAUUUGUUGAUUUUUUAGGUACGAGUUAGUUUGUUAAAGGACAUGGAUAAAAUGGGCUUGCAAGUUGCAAGAUUAUAUAGCAUUAGAUAGAAGCAAAUGGGAUGCAGGGGAGAAUGCACCCAUCUCCUUGAACAAUGCUUUGAAUUGAUUCACAGACCAGAAUGGUCCAUAAGGGUAAUUCAUGUGUGGGUUAGUGAACAUUCUAAGAACUUUCAUAUGAACAUUCUAAGAACUUUCAAGUAGGGUGGGUUAGUGGGUUACUGUUGGUGUUUUUUUUAUUUUUGUUGCUUGUUCUGCGUAUAUUCAGUGUUGUUUGUUUUGCGUAUAUGAAGUACCUGUCAUUAUUAUUUGUUCUGCAUAUUGUUAAAUAAAUGUUGUGAGAUGCAUGGGUAGUGUGUUGCAUUUGUGGCUGCUUUGUCUGAACAGCUUAUAUGUGCUCCUUUUAUGCGUUAAUGCUCUCUCUUGACUUUUCUUCUCACAUGUCUGCCUUGUUUUCUUUUGUCUGCUGAGGCUGAAGCAAGCUGAACUUGCUGGUGGAGGUGCAGGAGUGGGAGAUAAUCGCUCAGUAGGGAGAUCUCAGUAUUUUUACUUUUGGUCUGAAUUGUAUACUUAAUAUAAAUUAUUAGAAAUACAAUGAUUGUUUCCCGUAUUGUAAGAUUUAUAAUGGUUAUUGUCCUUAUGUUUUAAGCCUUA